AGGCACUCGGCGAUGUGGUCAAAGAGCUGAAAGGCAAUGGUUGAGGAUGAGCAACGCUGACAUCUUGGCAUCUUGAAGGACGUCUCAGCAUCUCAAAGGGCAUCUUGGCAUCUUGAAGGACAUCUUGGCGUUGUCUUGACUGCUGCCCCACUCUGGGUGGAUGUUCCUUUUGGGGGAGACAGUGGGGAUGGGGGGAGGCCCACCUGCAUCCCACUGCCUCGCAUGAGGUCCUCGUGGAUCUCGUAGAUCUGGCUCUCCAUCUCCACCUUCUGCAGGCCGUUGUCGGACACCUUCACCCUCAGCACACGAAAGUUGGUGCCGCCCAGGUCCAGUGCCAAGAAGUCUCCGUCCUCUGUCCCGUCCGGGGUGGACCUGACGAAGGAGGGCAGCAUCUUGACGGAGGCGGUGGGGUUGGUGUCGGCUCCCAGCCCCUUCUCCAUCUCCUUGCGGAAGCGCUCGGACACCUCCUGCAGUGUGUCCUCGGAGAGCCGCAUGUGGUACAGGUAUUUGUCCACCUUCUGCGCCUGGUCAUGGUUGAGCUCCGUGAAGAAAUAGGCGAGCAGAUGGGACGCGAUCAUUGCUGCGGUGCGGAGCGGUGCGGUGCGGAGCGGUGCGGUGCGGUGCGGUGCGCCCGAUCCCGCCCGUCGCGCUGAGCCUCAUUGAGGAGUUCCCCGGCCCCCCCC
rnacentral:lncRNA from 1 species